rnacentral:tRNA from 1 species
UCGGCGGCGCGCUGGGGGCUGCGUUGCUGGAAGCCUGUCUGCGCCAGGGCUGGUUGCGACCUCAGGACGGCUCGCGGGCGCUGCGCGUGUCGCCGAA